AAGUGGAUUAAUUUAAGAUGUUUAGAUUUUAGUAGGAAGAAUGGAGAAAUUCCCUUCUUCCCCUCAGGCCCUUGCUAUCCCAUGUAACAAACCAUGAGCUGUGGUGACGACCACAGACCUGGGCAACCUGUCGUUGCGCAUCACCCAUGUUUCAGGCUCGUUUUCAAUGUCAGCACAUUGUUUUUUGGGCUUGAUGACGACAGCAUUAACAAGCAGCUCCCUCGUCUUCAAGCAGGAAGUUCUGCCCAUCCUGUUGAUUAAUUUAGAAAUUGUUUGGAAUAAAUUGCUUCUGCUAAAUAUUGUAACUUGGUGUAGUUUCUGAUAUUAUGUUCUACAUUAUUGUUAUUAUAGGUGUUUUUGAAAAUACGGGUUUCAAUUUCCGUUUUUGUUUCUAGUUCUUACAGAAAAAAAGAAUUUGGUAACAAAGAACGAGUCUUUGUACAUUUGAUGCUUUGGGGGCUCUGCCCAUCCUUGUUAAUACCUCGAAUUGCAAAAUUCACAGUAAUUAUUAUGGUUUGAGUAUUGGUUCAUGUCCUUAUUUAAAUUGUUUAAACUGGUUUUUUCUUUUAAAUAAUCUAUUUCAGUGUGUCCUUCUGUGUAAUCAGGGCCAUUAACUCUCCUAUGUUUUUUCUUUUAAAUUGUUUUUUUCCCUCUUAAGCUGUUUAAUUAUCUUAAUUUUCCUAUGUGCGUCUAAUUAAAUGUCUGAUACAAAAGUAUAGAUAGAGGUCAUAUGAUUGUUGUACUUGGUCAUUGAAUUUGUUUGAGCUGAAACAGAGCACUAAUUGACUAUUUUCACCAUUUUGGCUUCACUCGACUCGCAACCAACCAUGGAAGAAACCAUUUUGGUUGCUGAUGGUUUAAUGAUGGUGCCACCAUCGCCUAUCAUUCCACCUGAAAUUGCAUCUCAUGUGCUUGAAGGUGUCAAUUUAUGUGAUGGGAUAUUGAGGAAUCUCUUUUUAUGUUCAUAGCAAUGGAAAUUCGAGGUGCUAUAAAAUAGGGUCAUCAAUGCCUCUAGACAGCAAGGGAAAGGGCUACGCAACUUGAAUCAGAAGUUACAACAUUGGAGAGCUAACAAGGUUGAUAAGUGUAAAACGAGAAAUCUUUCAAGGAUACCUCUUCUGUAGAUCUUUUUGGUGGCCUUGGUAAACUCGACCAAGAAACACUGGAUUCUCUUUCGGGUAGGCCCUGAAAGGAGAAGGAAGGCUGGAAUGCCAACAAGCCUCUAUUAUCGAAUUCACCCGACCCGAUAGUACCCCAUUUUUGGAACAUCCAGUGCCAAAUUCAACUGAAUGGGAAAAGGUUUGAAUCUUUAAAGCAAGGAAUGGAGAGCAGGAGUGAUGUCCCUUAAUUUUUUCAAGGAGAUGAUGACAGUAUCUUGUUCUAAUUUAUCUUAUGGUAAUCUCAGUAGAAGUAAAUCAGAAGAAAACUAAGAAUGCCAGAUGGUGAGGAAACAAAAUUGGCAAAGAAUGCCUUUCCAUUGUAUGUCUUGGCCCAAGGAGGUGAGGCAUUUUGAUGAUUUACUAUGCUGGCGAUUAGGGAGAGAGAGAAACAGAGAGGUGAUGAAUCUCACACGUUCUUGAUUAUAUUUGUCAUUUCAAACUCUUAAUAGUCGACGAAGUGGUGUAGUAGUUCCAUCUCUUUCUAUGGUUCAUGUAGAUGAAUUCUCCCAAUAUUUAAUACGGAUGUUGAAACUAAUUUCAACUAUUUUAAAAAAUGAAAAGGAGGAAACUAUGCUCGAAUUUACCAAUUUUCUGUAAUUUCUUAGGGGCUCUGUCGAUUUUUGAAGGAUUGAUUGUUACAGAAUCAAAUCAGUAGUAGCUAAGGUUGCAAAAUGGGCUUUGCUUCACCAACAAUCUAAGAUUUGAAUGGAAGAUCUUCAAGUAACAUACGAGAUCGAGAAAUAUGAAGAUCUUCAACAAUCUAAGAUUUUUGAAGAUCUUCAAGUAAAG